GUGUACACAGGCAGACGGCUUCGCACAGUUCGGCUAGUUUAGGUUAAGAAAUGUUUUCUCUCAGGAAAUGCCUUUAAAACCGGGGCUACAUUUUAUUUAAUGAUGUGGAAAAAUUCCACAAAAUAUCCUUAUGAGAAAUGUAUUUAAUUUUCUCUUUUUAAGCCAGUCAGCAAGUAAAGUGGGCUGCAUAUUGCUCGCAUUACUAACACCGCCUGGCAGCGGUACUGAAAUAUGCCUGGUCAUGCACAUUCAGAGGUAAUGUUAGUCGGGAGCACUCCUACGGUUGCUUAGCACUUUCCAGACACUGAUUGGCUUCAGCUGCUGAGAUGUCUGCCGCUAGAUAUUGACAGAUGUUGAAAUAGAGAGUAAACUCCUCUCGCUUCCCCCCACCCCCACCCCCGGCCCUGUGCACAAAGGAAUAAGCCAAACUGCAUCUUGCCAUCCCCAAACAAGAUUCUUGCCUUCCCUCAGCUUUAAUGACCGCGCUGAAGGAAGCAUUUGGGCCCUGAUGGAAAGGAACAGACAUCAACCUUGGCACCAUCAGGCAUCGACUUCUACAAAUUUUGAAUAUGUACACUGAGAUGUAGGAACACAGUUAAAUGGCGGCUCUUGACUGUGUCGCAGAGGUCAUGUUCUACCCAGAGGUAGCCAACACAUGAUGAUUCCAAGUUGGGCAUUGUCUCCAAUGUGGGUUCCAGUUGAUGACAUUGGAGUAUUUCUAGGGGCAGGAGAGAUGGCUCAGCAGUUAAGAGCACUGACUGCUCUUCCGGAGGUCCAGAGUUCAAUUCCUAGCAACUACACAAUGCUCACAACCAUCUGUAAUGGGAUUCAAUGCCCUCUUCUGGUGUGUCUGAAGACAGCUGCAGUGUACUCACCUACAUAAAAUAAAUAAAUCU
rnacentral:lncRNA from 1 species